GCACUCAAGUAUAAAUAAGUCUUACAACUUCCUAACGGAAAACUUAAUAACUUCAACUUAAAUUGCAUACUAACCUAGAAAUUGAGCUACUUAGUAAUUAAAACCUUGUGUGCUUUUGAAAUUCUUAUCAGUUAUGUACUUGAAAUAAGACUUUCAUUUCACAAACCAAAUUUUAUUUUGGGAUUGAAGUUUGUGGGUAACUUCACUACAAACCCUCACGAGACAACACUCGUCUACUAGGGUAACCUAGGGGUUUAAAGGCUUGUUGCACGUGCUAAGUGCAAUCGUAAUGCUCUACGAAA
rnacentral:lncRNA from 1 species